rnacentral:rRNA from 1 species
AGUGAACGCUGGCGGUGUGCCUAACACAUGCAAGUCGAACGGCAGCUCAGUAAGAGCGUGCUCUUGCGCGUGGCGAGUGGGAGACGGGUGGGGAAUGCAUCGGAAUCUACUUUUUCGUGGGGGAUAACGUAGGGGAACAUACGCUAAUACAGCAUACGACCUCCCGUUGAAAUCAGUAGAGCUUCGGACCUUUCUAGAAUGAAGGAGCCGAUGUCGGAUUGGCUAGUUGGCGGGGUAAAGGCCCAGCAAGGCGACGAUACGUAGCUGGUAUGAGAGGAUGGUCAGCCACACUGGAACUGAGACACGGUCCCGACUCCUAAGGGAGGGAGCAGUGGGGAAUAUUGGACAAUGGGCGCAAGCCUGAUCGAGCCAUACCGGGUGGGUGAAGAAGGGCUUCGGGUUGGAAAGCCCUUUUGUUGGGAAAGAAAAGCAGCAGGUUAAUACCGCGCUGUUCUGACGGUACCCAAAGAAUAAGCACCGGCUAAAUUCGUG